rnacentral:rRNA from 1 species
GUAGGGAAUAUCGGUCAAUGGACGAAAGUCUGAACCAGCCAUUCCGCGUGCAGGAAGAAGAUUCUAUGGAUUGUAAACUGCUUUUAGCAGAGAAGAAACGCCUUCAUUGAUGAGGGUUUGACGGUAUCUGCGGAAUAAGCACCGGCUAACUCCGUGCCAGCAGCCGCGGUAAUACGGGGGGUGCAAGCGUUAUCCGGAAUCACUGGGUUUAAAGGGUGCGUAGGCGGGAAAUUAAGUCAGUGGUGAAAGUCUGUUGCUUAACGAUAGAAUUGCCGUUGAUACUGAUUUUCUUGAAUUGGGUUGAGGUUAGCGGAAUGUGACAUGUAGCGGUGAAAUGCAUAGAUAUGUCAUGGAACACCAAUUGCGAAGGCAGCUAGCUGGGCCUUGAUUGACGCUGAGGCACGAAAGCGUGGGUAGCGAACAGGAUUAGAUACCCGUGUAGUCC